GUGGUUGUAGCUCUGUGGUAGAGCGCUUGCCUAGUAUGUGUGAGGCCCUGGGUUUGAGCCUCAGUACCACA
rfam:Ictidomys tridecemlineatus contig015822, whole genome shotgun sequence.